GAACGAACGCUGGCGGCGCGUUUAAGCAUGCAAGUCGAGCGGCAAGGGCCUUCGGGCCCCUAGAGCGGCGGACGGGUGAGUAACACGUGGACAAUCUGCCCCCCGGCCCGGGAUAGCCCAGGGAAACCUGGAUUAAUACCGGAUGAGACGGGACCCGCGAUGGCGGGACCCGGGAAAGGCGCUGCGGCGCCGCCGGGGGAUGAGUCUGCGUCCCAUUAGCUAGACGGCGGGGUAACGGCCCACCGUGGCGACGAUGGGUAGCCGGCCUGAGAGGGUGGACGGCCACAUUGGAACUGAGACACGGUCCAGACUCCUACGGGAGGCAGCAGCUAAGAAUCUUCCGCAAUGGGCGAAAGCCUGACGGAGCGACGCCCGCGUGAACGAAGAAGGCCGUGAGGUUGUAAAGUUCUUUUCGGGAGGGGAACAACCGUGGCAGGGAAUGGCCGCGGGAUGACGUGAAUCCCGGAAUAAGCCCCGGCUAACUACGUGCCAGCAGCCGC
rnacentral:rRNA from 1 species